rnacentral:rRNA from 1 species
GACGAACGCUGGCGGCGUGCUUAACACAUGCAAGUCGAACGGAAAGGCCCUGCUCUUGUGGGGUGCUCGAGUGGCGAACGGGUGAGUAACACGUGAGUAACCUGCCCUUGACUUUGGGAUAACUUCAGGUAACUGGGGCUAAUACCGGAUAGGAGCUCCUGCUGCAUGGUGGGGGUUGGAAAGUUUCGGCGGUUGGGGAUGGACUCGCGGCUUAUCAGCUUGUUGGUGGGGUAGUGGCUUACCAAGGCUUUGACGGGUAGCCGGCCUGAGAGGGUGACCGGACACAUUGGGACUGAGAUACGGCCCAGACUCCUACGGGAGGCAGCAGUGGGGAAUAUUGCACAAUGGGCGGAAGCCUGAUGCAGCAACGCCGCGUGCGGGAUGACGGCCUUCGGGUUGUAAACCGCUUUCGCCUGUGACGAAGCGUGAGUGACGGUAAUGGGUAAAGAAGCACCGGCUAACUACGUG